AGACAGACUAGCUGGCAGAGUCAUAAAUUUUUACCUCCUUACGUGGUCUACAAUCUAACGUGCUCAACACGUGAUUCCAACAACGAACAUCUACCAGUUGUGGAAGACUCUGAAGC